GUUGGUUUCGCUGAGAUACAGAUCGGAUAUCCCAUGACAGCACCUGUUUUAUUAAGCAUUGGAACUCAUCAGAUGAUGCAUAGAGCGACUUCUUUCCUGCUAUUUCCCAACAAUGAGCAAAUGAGGCAGAGAAACCCUCAGAAAAGCUAACAGAAGCUACUGCUAACAUGUUGUCCUCCAUUACCCACUUUGGAACUGCUGCUCCUUGGAUGCUAUCACAGUAUGGUAGAUAAGGUUUGAUGUCAAGUAUUGGGGUCCCAUCAACCAGAUCUACACCAGAGAGAAGAACCAUGUUUCCUUGUACUGCCUCCAC
rnacentral:misc_RNA from 1 species